AGCGAACCUCUAGUGUGCCAGUUGUCACAUCAGUGGCAGUGCUGGGUAGCUACGUUCGUAACUGAGAAGCGCUGAAAGCAUCUAAGCGCCAAACAGGCCACAAGACUAGGUAUCGUAGAUCCCUGGAAGACUACCAGGUUGAUAGGCGCCAAGUGUAAAGCAAGUAAUUGUUGUUCACGGGUGAUCCGUGAGGUUGAUCGGGUUAUCGGG
rnacentral:ncRNA from 1 species